AUUCUAGUUGUAGGUUGUGUUACCUAUUCUAGUUGUAGGUUGUGUUACCUAUUCUAGUUGUAGGUUGUGUUACCUAUUCUAGUUGUAGGUUGUGUUACCUAUUCUAGUUGUAGGUUGUGUUACCUAUUCUAGUUGUAGGUUGUGUUGCCUAUUCUAGUUGUAGGUUGUGUUACCUAUUCUAGUUGUAGGUUGUGUUACUGUACAUCUCCGUCCUCCGAUGGACAAUAAUCUUCCAUUUAAUUCUACUAAACUACUAUUCUAUUCUAUUUCAAUGCCGAACAUGUCAGCGUAUCUGUCUCUGUGGUGGACAGACUGUAUGGUAGUAGGUGUAUUGGUGUUUAAAUGCUAACAUAUCAGCAUAUCUGUCUCUGUGGUGGACAGACUGUAUGGUAGUAGGUGUAUUGGUGUUUAAAUGCUAACAUAUCAGCAUAUCUGUCUCUGUGGUGGACAGACUGUAUGGUAGUAGGUGUAUUGGUGUUUAAAUGCUAACAUAUCAGCAUAUCUGUCUCUGUGGUGGACAGACUGUAUGGUAGUAGGUGUAUUGGUGUUUAAAUGCUAACAUA